rnacentral:rRNA from 1 species
AUUGAACGCUGGCGGCAGGCUUAACACAUGUAAGUCGAGCGGAGAUGAGGUGCUUGCACCUUAUCUUAGCGGCGGACGGGUGAGUAAUGCUUAGGAAUCUGCCUAUUAGUGGGGGACAACCUUCCGAAAGGAAUGCUAAUACCGCAUACGUCCUACGGGAGAAAGCAGGGGAUCUUCGGACCUUGCGCUAAUAGCUGAGCCUAAGUCGGAUUAGCUAGUUGGUGGGGUAAAGGGCUACCAAGGCGACGAUCUGUAGCGGGUCUGAGAGGAUGAUCCGCGACACUGGGACUGAGACACGGCCCAGACUCCUACGGGAGGCAGCAGUGGGGAAUAUUGGACAAUGGGGGAAACCCUGAUCCAGCCAUGCCGCGUGUGUGAAGAAGGCCUUAUGGUUGUAAAGCACUUUAAGCGAGGAGGAGGCUACUGAGACUAAUACUCUUGGAUAGUGGACGUUACUCGCAGAAUAAGCACCGGCUAACUCUGUGCCAGCAGCCGCCGUAA